UUAUGGACUAUUAUUAUUUAAGAGAUAAAAAAUGUUUUUAAAAAUCAAACAAAAUAUCCAAGUGGGAAGUGCAAUUAGUAUUUUUGGUUGCAUCUUAAGUCAUGUCACAAAAAAACAUUAUUGACUCACCCUGUAUAUAAAAAAAAUUAAACGUUUGUUCAAUAUCCCUAUUCAUUCAGAUCUGAAUUUUUUUAAUAAUACAACGCGAAAUCGUUUUAAAAUUCAUAUUCAUUAAUAUUUGAACACUUUAUGUCAAAAUGACAAAUCUCUGCGUGUAUAAUACUGUUCUUUCAGACGCUCUUUACUGGAGUAUACUUCUCUACCUUGUGGCAGUUUUCUUAUUGAUUUGGGUACGAUAUUGUGUCCAAUUUACAAUUUUGUGUCCCUUUUCAAACACACAAAUCCACUGUUCUUACAUCCCUCAAUACCCAAGUAAUUCCUGCAUUUGCGCUUCUUGUGCCAUGAAUAAGAAUAACACUGGACUUUUUUGUUGCAAAAGGAAACACAAAUUUUACGUCAAAAUACAUUGUUAGAGUAAUAAAAUAACCAACUAUUCUACUUUUAAAAAUAAAUUAAUGUUUUAAUUUU